UACGUAGGGUGCAAGCGUUAAUCGGAAUUACUGGGCGUAAAGCGUGCGUAGGCGGCUCUGUAAGUCCGUUGUGAAAGUCGAAGGCUCAACCUUCGAAAGCCGAUGGAUACUGCAGGGCUAGAGUCCGGAAGAGGCGAGUGGAAUUCCUGGUGUAGCGGUGGAAUGCGCAGAUAUCAGGAGGAACACCAAUAGCGAAGGCAGGUCUCUGGGCAUUAACUGACGCUGAGGAGCGAAAGCAUGGGGAGCGAACAGG
rnacentral:rRNA from 1 species